rnacentral:tmRNA from 2 species
GGGGGCGACAUGGCUUCGACGGGAUCAAGAAGGUUUAACUUGCAUGCCGGACUGAGCAUCUCCGUUAUACGGCUCAACUUGCUUAAACGCAAACAACACUAAUUAUCGUCCUGCUUACGCUGUAGCGUAAGUUUAACUUAACUUAGGACUGCUUCUCCUUCCGAUUCUAUCUACGAGGUUUUGGGAAGUAUAAUCAAUCAGAUAGAUAUAUUUGCGGGAUGUCUCGUCCGCAGAUGAAUUUAGGGGCUGGGACGGUGUAGCUUUGCACGUUGUGUGAAGCCGUCCAAGACUCAAACAACGUCUCUAAGCAUGUAGACGGUUUCACUAACUUGGUUUCGGACUCCGGUUCGAUUCCGGACGCUUCCACCA